UACGAACCGUGCGAACGUUGUUCGGAUUCACUGGGCUUAAAGGGCGCGUAGGCGGGCGAUCAAGUCCGGGGUGAAAUCUUUCGGCUCAACCGGAAAAGUGCCUUGGAUACUGGUCGUCUCGAGGGAGGUAGGGGCAUGCGGAACUUCCGGUGGAGCGGUGAAAUGCGUAGAUAUCGGAAGGAACGCCGGUGGCGAAAGCGGCGUGCUGGACCGCUUCUGACGCUGAGGCGCGAAAGCCAGGGGAGCGAACGGG
rnacentral:rRNA from 1 species